CCUACGGGAGGCAGCAGUGAGGAAUAUUGGUCAAUGGGCGAGAGCCUGAACCAGCCAAGUCGCGUGCAGGAUGACGGCUCUAUGGUUUGUAAACUUCUUUUAUAUGGGAAUACAGUGACGUACGUGUUCCUUUUUGUAUUUACCAUAUGAAUCAGCAUCGGCUUACUCCGUGCCAGCAGCCUCGGUAAUACGGAGGAUGCGAGCGUUAUACGGAUUUAUUUGGUUUAAAGGGUGCGGUGGUGGUUAAUUAAGUCAGCGGGGAAAGUUUGUGGCUCAACCCCACACUUGCAUGUGAUACUGGUCGACUUGAGGACAUGUGAGGGAGGCGGAAGGCGGGGGGUAGCGGUGAAAUGCAUAGAUAACAAGAAGAAACCCGAUUGGGAAGGGAGCCUACGAA
rnacentral:rRNA from 1 species